rnacentral:tRNA from 1 species
GUGUAUGUAAUUUAAAAAAAAUAUCAAGCUGUGACCCUGACAUUAGGAACCCCUCAUACAC